GGGCCCGCACAAGCAGUGGAGUAUGUGGUUUAAUUCGAAGCAACGCGAAGAACCUUACCAGGUCUUGACAUCCAACUAACGAAGUAGAGAUACAUUAGGUGCCCUUCGGGGAAAGUUGAGACAGGUGGUGCAUGGUUGUCGUCAGCUCGUGUCGUGAGAUGUUGGGUUAAGUCCCGCAACGAGCGCAACCCUUGUCAUUAGUUGCUACGCAAGAGCACUCUAAUGAGACUGCCGUUGACAAAACGGAGGAAGGUGGGGACGACGUCAAAUCAUCAUGCCCCUUAUGACCUGGGCUACACACGUACUACAAUGGCCGUUAACAGAGGGAAGCAAGACCGCGAGGUGGAGCAAAACCCUAAAAACGGUCUCAGUUCAGAUUGCAGGCUGCAACUCGCCUGCAUGAAGGUGGAAUUGCUAGUAAUCGCGGAUCAUAAUGCCGCGGUGAAUACGUUCCCGGGCCUUGUACACACCGCCCGUCACACCAUGGGAGCCGGUAAUACCCGAAGUCAGUAGCCUAACCGCAAGGAGGGCGCUGCCGAAGGUAGGAUUGGCGACUGGGGUGAAGUCGUAACAAGGUAGCCGUAUCGGAAGGUGCGGCU
rnacentral:rRNA from 1 species